rnacentral:misc_RNA from 1 species
CUAUGGAGGGAAAAAAAAUAGUAGCAUGUUCAAAACCAAAAAUCAAAUAUUGUCACACUCACACCUUAGGCAACUCAGCAAAUUAUGAUGCUACUUUUUUUCCAGGAAGGAAAUAGUCAGUUCAGGUGAUCAUACAAAACCAAGUGAUUAAAUCAAACAACACUAUACUAAUUAAAAUUUAGCUUAUAAUACAUCACAUGCUGAAUAUGGGAGUGAUGAAAAACUAAUUUACACAUGGUUGACUCGGGAUAAAGGUAAGGGUAACUAAUGGCUAAAAGCAUUCCCAUACAAGGUUCAUAUAACAGUGGCAAUUAGCCAUUAUCUCUGUACUUGGCUUUCAACGUACAUAAAUGUUCAACCAACAACAAAAGAAUGCAUUCAUCACAUCACUUAGGAUUCCAUGAACUGUGAGGGUGGUGGGCUUGUUUUUGUCUUCUCAGGACCAUAAACCCCACGAAUCUCCACUUCUCGCCAUUCUUGUACAAGGGCACAGCAACAACACAUCAAAUGCGAAAGAAAAUCAUCAACAAAUCCUCCCGUGAUAUUCAACCUUUUGCGGAGCUUUCUUCUGAUGCAGCAAGUGUAGCAACAACAUGACAGUAUCAAUGAAUAUGCCAUCAAUUCAUUACAUGCUUCAGCUGAAGACAUGUGUCUAUUGGUUGCCACAGUAGCAAUCUUUGAGAAUGUCCCACAAGGAUAGAAGAAUGUCUUCAGACACAGAGAGGGUUCUGAACAACAACCAAGUAAAUCACUAUGCCAUUCUUCAUGCUGAUAUGAGUUUCUAUGUGAGAGCAGAUCAUCUCCUGAUGAAAAUGAGGAUGCGUUUCUUGAAGUCUUACGAGAAUCACUUUUCUUGGGAUAGUUUUCAUCAAAUGAAUGAUUCUCCCUAACAUCUGAAUUAUUGGGCUCCAGUUUCUUGGAUGCUUUUAUGGGUGAACUCUUCUGUGGAAGAGAAUUUGCAGCAGCAGCAGCUUCUGUGACAUCAAUCAAACGUUGGAUAACUUCACAUUGGUUUACAUCCAAAUUAGCUUGUGAUCGUUGUAGUUCAAGCUGAAGUUUCUGAUUUUCCUUUUGAAGAGCUUCAUUAAAACCCAAGUUUGGGUAUGAACAAGAAAGAGUUUUUUUCAACACCAUUGUCUGAUCUUUCAAGGGUUCUGGUUUCAAGAUCACAUCUUGCACCUUUCUAUCCUCUUCAUCAAAUGUAUACUCAUGUUGAUCCUUUUGAAUAUCUUCCAGUCUCUCCCUGACACGAGCGUUAUCCACGAGACUAAUGAGAGGAACUAGCCGCAAGUACCGGUCGAUCUCAUUCUGCGCCUUUCUGAACUGAUAAACGAUAUUCCAACCCAUGGCAAGCAAGUAGAGAUAGCUCCUAUCCUGACAACUAUUGACCAAAAUGUAAGACCUCCUCAAGGAAUCUUCAAGCUGCUCCAAAGGCUCCCGUGUUUCGGGAUACCUCUUAAGCUCGGAGAUCUUGAGCUGCUCCAACAAGUUCCCUAUCAAUUUAAGAUGCUGUGCAAACUGCCUGCAGUUCUUCUUGUGCAUUCGCGCUGUACUCGCGGCCUUCACUAUCAUCCCUAUCAGCCGCACUGCAUCAACACCCGUGAGCUGGGCGACAUUCGCAAUCUCCCCAAAAUGCUCCCACGAUGACAUCCUCAACGCUCGACUAAUGCAACCCAAAAUCCUGCCUUAACCAAAACUCACAUCGAUCACUUUAAACCUUCACUUCCUCCCUUCUCUUUAGAUAAAAUUUUCAUUAUCAUUAUCAAAUUGAACUUGACAAGCUAAAAGAAAUUGAACCCAAGAUUUUUCAAUUCAUUUUACCUCUUCUAAUUUAAGCCAAUUGGUUCAACAUUUGCUGGACCUUCGACGUUGCAGUCACUUGCAUUGCCAAAUGGAAUGGCAGAGUUAUCAGUUCGAAAGGAAAUCAACAGUGCAGUACUAAAAAUAGAGAGAGAUUUUUUAUUCGAAAAUUCUUGAUUUCAAGCAGGAUCAAGAACAAAUGCUCUUCCACUAGAUCUACUGGGAAACCGCAUGACCAAUCAGUUCAAGAGCUUUGCUUCUGGAGAAGGAGAAGCCGAUAGGCGAUAGCAGAGUAACCAAGGAAGAGUCCGUUUCAACUUUCAAGUUCAACUUUUUUUCGUGUUUAAGCUCAGCAAAAAUGAAAGAAAAAAUUCAACAAAAACCGAGAGCCUUUCACUAUGCUAAUUUACCCUCUUUUUGUCCUUUUCACAAUGCAUUUUUUGGAUUAUAAUAAGCAUCUAAGGAAGAAAUGUCAAAAUCCGUGAGAAUAACAGCCUUAAAUUCUGGUAAUGACGGGCAUUGCUUUGCCCAAAAAUCGAGCUGCUGCUUCUACUUCUCUUAUUCUGUGAAUGGAUUUUGGCCUCUCUCUCUCUCGGCGGCAGUAUAUUUUAUUGCUUGCUCACGGUUUCGGUGGCGUUUGUCCGUGCCUCUGCGCAAAGGUCCAUUGGCCUCAUGCGCCAGAAACAGAGAGCCAGACAAG